GCCGCUGUGGCGAAAUUGGCAGACGCGCACGGUUCAGAGCCGUGUAUCCUCACGGAUAUGUGGGUUCAAGUCCCACCGGCGGCA
rnacentral:tRNA from 1 species